GGCGAGAUGGCCGAGCGGUCUAAGGCGCUGGUUUUAGGCACCAGUCUCUCCGGAGGCGUGGGUUCGGAUCCUACUCUCGUCA
rnacentral:tRNA from 1 species